AUCUUCGUCCUGGCUCAGGAUGAACGCUGGCCGCGUGCCUAAUACAUGCAAGUCGAACGAACUUCCGUUAAUUGAUUAUGACGUGCUUGCACUGAAUGAGAUUUUAACACGAAGUGAGUGGCGGACGGGUGAGUAACACGUGGGUAACCUGCCCAGAAGCAGGGGAUAACACCUGGAAACAGAUGCUAAUACCGUAUAACAGAGAAAACCGCCUGGUUUUCUUUUAAAAGAUGGCUCUGCUAUCACUUCUGGAUGGACCGGCGGCGCAUUAGCUAGUUGGCGAGGUAACGGCUCACCAAGGCGAUGAUGCGUAGCCGACCUGAGAGGGUAAUCGGCCACAUUGGGACUGAGACACGGCCCAGACUCCUACGGGAGCCAGCAGUAGGGAAUCUUCCACAAUGGACGCAAGUCUGAUGGAGCAACGCCGCGUGAGUGAAGAAGGGUUUCGGCUCGUAAAGCUCUGUUGUUAAAGAAGAACGUGGGUGAGAGUAACUGUUCACCCAGUGACGGUAUUUAACCAGAAAGCCACGGCUAACUACGUGCCAGCAGCCGCGGUAAUACGUAGGUGGCAAGCGUUAUCCGGAUUUAUUGGGCGUAAAGCGAGCGCAGGCGGUCUUUUAAGUCUAAUGUGAAAGCCUUCGGCUCAACCGAAGAAGUGCAUUGGAAACUGGGAGACUUGAGUGCAGAAGAGGACAGUGGAACUCCAUGUGUAGCGGUGAAAUGCGUAGAUAUAUGGAAGAACACCAGUGGCGAAGGCGGCUGUCUG
rnacentral:rRNA from 1 species